rnacentral:lncRNA from 1 species
UCUCAUUCAAUAUAGUAUAGACAUAAAGUAAUAAUGAUUUAAACUAAAAGAGGGAACAAUUCUCCUUAAUCUUUUUUUAUCACCCAAAAUGGAUUUCAUCCAGGAUAAUGAAUGUAUAAAGGAUAAGAAAUCAAACAAUUUUCCCAGAAACAAUGCUGCUAGCUAAGUCUUCCAUCAACAUCCCAUGUUCGCUUCUAUCCUGAUUCCAACUAUCGCUGACAACAACUAGAAUUAUUGCUCCAUCUCUAUAUUCUUGGGUUGCCGACAACCAGAUCAAUUCGAUCAAGGGGUUUUGUGAUGAACUUUGGUGGUAGCACUAGUGAUAGAUAGAUGGAACUACGUUUUGUUCAAAGGUAACAACUUGUUCUUGAAACAAAUUUGAUAAGGGUCUAUCAUAUCAGAAAUUGCUAAACUUUUUGUUGAAAGGUAAAUAUUAGUAUUGAUAGUGAAUGAGAUUAGAACCUUCAACCUCAUUUUUACUUCAUUCCUUAAACAUCCACUUUUAUCACCCGAACAUCUUAUGACUCCUUAGAAAUUGCUAAACCGAGUUACCUUCGAAGUUGAUUUCAAAGCUAUUAACAGCUUUACCCUUCUUAAUUUGACAUGGAUGUUUAUUUUAUAUUUUUUUACGAUUGACAACAACAUAAUACUAUUCACUCUAAUAGUCAAUUUCUCUAUAUAGUUUUUUAGAAUAAGAACAAAUUACAAAACAGGAAGAACAUCUUAAUAAAAACAAAUCACAAUGAUGAACAACAUUCACAAUAUUUUUAGAAAAAGUUAGCUCGCCCAACUUUUACCUGAAAACUCCUCAUUCCACUACCACUUGCUCAAGACCAUUUUCGAUUGAAGACAAUUCUGAAGCUUAUUUAACAUCUCAUAACAAAAAUGCUCCUUUCGGAAAUAUACACUUUAAUGUAAAGAACUCAAGUCGCCAUUCACUGAAUAAUGUUCCACCACCGCUUGCAUAAGGAAAUACCGUUGAAUGAGUCACUUUCAACAACACUUGCUCUAACAAGAAUUAUUGAUUCUAAUGACAAUACUAUUUGAUAUAAUAGUACAUCAGAUAGUACUAUUUUAUCAAACAGUUCGUACAUAUAUACAAACACAUUCAACAAAAUAAAACACAUAUAUAUCAACAC